ACGCUCGACACCUACGGGAGCAGCAGUGGGGAAUAUUGCACAAUGGGGGAAACCCUGAUGCAGCGACGCCGCGUGGAGGAAGAAGGUCUUCGGAUUGUAAACUCCUGUUGUUGGGGAAAAAGAGGAUGGUACCCAACAAGGAAGUGACGGCUAACUACGUGACAGCAGCCGCGGUAAUCUGAGCGGGCUGGCAAGGC
rnacentral:rRNA from 1 species